rnacentral:misc_RNA from 1 species
ACACAGUUAAACAUUUCCAGGUAAUAUAUAGAGGAGUUGAUCGCUGUUUUACUGCGCAAGCUCUUCAGCCAACUAAAGUUUAUAGCUUUACAGUUUCAGCUUGGAUGAGUGAGGGUAGAUGCGAAAGUUUACCCAGAACACGUCGAAUCAGCAAGCAAUCUACAUCAUCGUCUAUUUUAAAAAGAAGAAUCUCUCUCAAAGAGUAAUUUGAAUCGCGAUCCAACGAAUUGUUAGUAUGCGACUAUAUGCAACUUGUAAAGUUAAAAAAUUUUAA